CCGCCGCGGUGAUACGUUCCCGGGCCUUGUACACACCGCCCGUCACACCAUGAGAGUUUGUAACACCCGAAGCCGGUGGCGUAACCCUUUUAGGGAGCGAGCCGUCUAAGGUGGGACAAAUGAUUAGGGUGAAGUCGUAACAAGGUAGCCGUAGGAGAACCUGCGGCUGGAUCACCUCCUUUCUA
rnacentral:rRNA from 1 species